rnacentral:tRNA from 1 species
UCCCUGGCAGUCUAGUGGUUAGGACUUGGCACUUUCAGUGCCAGGGGCCCUGGUUCAAUCCCUGGUUGGGGAA